rnacentral:rRNA from 1 species
AUUGAACGCUGGCGGCAGGCCUAACACAUGCAAGUCGAGCGGUAGAGAGAAGCUUGCUUCUCUUGAGAGCGGCGGACGGGUGAGUAAAGCCUAGGAAUCUGCCUGGUAGUGGGGGAUAACGUUCGGAAACGAACGCUAAUACCGCAUACGUCCUACGGGAGAAAGCAGGGGACCUUCGGGCCUUGCGCUAUCAGAUGAGCCUAGGUCGGAUUAGCUAGUUGGUGAGGUAAUGGCUCACCAAGGCGACGAUCCGUAACUGGUCUGAGAGGAUGAUCAGUCACACUGGAACUGAGACACGGUCCAGACUCCUACGGGAGGCAGCAGUGGGGAAUAUUGGACAAUGGGCGAAAGCCUGAUCCAGCCAUGCCGCGUGUGUGAAGAAGGUCUUCGGAUUGUAAAGCACUUUAAGUUGGGAGGAAGGGCAUUAACCUAAUACGUUAGUGUUUUGACGUUACCGACAGAAUAAGCACCGGCUAACUCUGUGCCAGCAGCCGCGGUAAUACAGAGGGUGCAAGCGUUAAUCGGAAUUACUGGGCGUAAAGCGCGCGUAGGUGGUUUGUUAAGUUGGAUGUGAAAUCCCCGGGCUCAACCUGGGAACUGCAUUCAAAACUGACUGACUAGAGUAUGGUAGAGGGUGGUGGAAUUUCCUGUGUAGCGGUGAAAUGCGUAGAUAUAGGAAGGAACACCAGUGGCGAAGGCGACCACCUGGACUAAUACUGACACUGAGGUGCGAAAGCGUGGGGAGCAAACAGGAUUAGAUACCCUGGUAGUCCACGCCGUAAACGAUGUCAACUAGCCGUUGGAGGCCUUGAGCUUUUAGUGGCGCAGCUAACGCAUUAAGUUGACCGCCUGGGGAGUACGGCCGCAAGGUUAAAACUCAAAUGAAUUGACGGGGG